rnacentral:rRNA from 1 species
AAGCGGUGGAGUAUGUGGUUAAUUCGAUGCAACGCGAAGAACCUACCUGGUCUUGACAUCCCGGAGACCCUUAGGAAACUAGGGGGUGCUUCCAUCUGGAAGAAUCUGGAGACAGGUGCUGCAUGGCUGUCGUCAGCUCGUGUCGUGAGAUGUUGGGUUAAGUCCCGCAACGAGCGCAACCCUUGCCUUUAGUUGCCAGCAGUUCGGCUGGGCACUCUAAAGGGACUGCCGGUGUUAAACCGGAGGAAGGUGGGGAUGACGUCAAGUCCUCAUGGCCUUUAUGACCAGGGCUACACACGUACUACAAUGGCCGAUACAAAGGGCAGCGACACUGCGAGGUGAAGCCAAUCCCGUAAAAUCGGUCUCAGUCCGGAUUGGAGUCUGCAACUCGACUCCAUGAAGUUGGAAUCGCUAGUAAUCGUGGAUCAGCAUGCCACGGUGAAUACGUUCCCGGGCCUU